rnacentral:rRNA from 1 species
CAAGUCGAGCGGAACGAGUUAUCUGAACCUUCGGGGGACGAUAACGGCGUCGAGCGGCGGACGGGUGAGUAAUGCCUAGGAAAUUGCCCUGAUGUGGGGGAUAACCAUUGGAAACGAUGGCUAAUACCGCAUGAUGCCUACGGGCCAAAGAGGGGGACCUUCGGGCCUCUCGCGUCAGGAUAUGCCUAGGUGGGAUUAGCUAGUUGGUGAGGUAAGGGCUCACCAAGGCGACGAUCCCUAGCUGGUCUGAGAGGAUGAUCAGCCACACUGGAACUGAGACACGGUCCAGACUCCUACGGGAGGCAGCAGUGGGGAAUAUUGCACAAUGGGCGCAAGCCUGAUGCAGCCAUGCCGCGUGUGUGAAGAAGGCCUUCGGGUUGUAAAGCACUUUCAGUCGUGAGGAAGGUGGUGUAGUUAAUAGCUGCAUUAUUUGACGUUAGCGACAGAAGAAGCACCGGCUAACUCCGUGCCAGCAGC